CUACUGAACUAUGGGCCGGCUGUAUAAAAAUAUAAAUCACACUGUUC
rnacentral:rRNA from 1 species